rnacentral:miRNA from 1 species
UAAGUGCUUCCCUGUUCUAGG